rnacentral:pre_miRNA from 12 species
UAGGGUAACCAACUGUCCCAGUUUGCCUGGGGCUCUUGCAGUUCUGGAAUUGGAAGCCCCUGGCAAACAGAGCUGGCUGGUCACCCUGGACCACU